GACAGAGGGUGCGAACGUUGUUCGGAAUUAUUGGGCGUAAAGGGUGCGUAGGCGGUCUGACAAGUCUGAUGUGAAAUCUAUGGGCUCAACCCAUAGUCUGCAUCGGAAACUGUCGGGCUGGAGUAUGGGAGAGGUGAGUGGAAUUUCCGGUGUAGCGGUGAAAUGCGUAGAUAUCGGAAGGAACACCUGUGGCGAAAGCGGCUCACUGGACCAUUACUGACGCUGAUGCACGAAAGCUAGGGGAGCAAACAGG
rnacentral:rRNA from 1 species